GUGAAAUAAAUCACAUAACAAACAUACACCCCUUUGUUUGAACGUGAACAUUUCUCCCAUCCCCUUUGUGAAAAGAGGCGUCCUAUCUGUCGAGGUUAGGGCGUCUCUUU
rnacentral:sRNA from 1 species